AUUCUUGGAGAACCAGCACCCACUGGCAACACCCAGAAAGACUGGAGUGCCCCACUUCCCCUGCCGGACAUGGUUUCUUAGCUCCUUAUUUUUUCUUAUCUCUAGACCAGGCUGAGAGCCACCCCCACUCCACCCCUGGCACCCACAGCCCUCAGCAGGCUUCUCCCUCCUCCCCUUGCUCCUACAGGGCCUGGAGGCAACUCAUGGUGCCAAGUGCUCAAGUCUGGUGGGUGUCUUCCCAGCAGGACCUUGGGGUCCCUAAUGGCCUAUUCCACUGGGGAGCCUAGGGCUGGGUUUCCUGUAGGUGGCCGUGGGAACUCAGCAAUGGACUGAAUCCUCAGCGGUAGCCCCUGGGGCCCCUCCCUCUCCCCGGUCCCCGCACCUGCAGGCCUCAGGAAUUCCUGCCUGUGGGGGCAGCCCUGCCCCAGGCUCUGCAGGCAGGAGCGUGGCUCCUUCCAGGCUGCGCAAACUCAGGGCCUGGUCUCAGCAAACGACCUGCCCAGGGAACUCUCAGCAACUUCGCACCAGUCACCGGCCAAGGCUCCUUUCUCUUCAAGGAACUGACAACCAUUCUGUGAGUCAGUAACUGGGGACAAAGGGAAAGGAUGGCCUCAUGUGACAGCUACAGUCACGCGGGAAGGCGCAUCUGCUUCUGCUUCUCCAGAGAGACUGUCUCCUCCGGCGGGAAGGAGGCCCCAGUCACAAUCCAGGUGCCAUGUGCACGCAGUGUCCCCGGCUGGGGACCAAGAUGACCACCUGAACAGUGGAGAGAUACUGUACUGGGAGCAACUGGCUCCCUCUUUGAUGAGCCAGGCUCUCUGAACCUCUGAGCCUGUUUCAAGACUAUGGCCUCAAGAACCCUAAGAAUCCUCCAUGUUGUGAUUUCCAGAAAUUCCUCUGUGUGGAGAAGCGCUGAGGGGUGGCCACGUCCUAAAGGAUCCACGAGGGGUGUCCCACUCAGCACGGCCUGUCCCUCUGGCCGCAAGGAAGCUUGCAGCCCUGGCUGUGGGGUUCCAACCCUAGCUCUGCCUGUCACUGGCCCACGACCCAACUCUCUGACCAUGUUUCACAGAUGAGGAGACCUGAGGCCCCAGGAGGGAACGAAUGUCCCCAAGAUCGUGAGUCUGUCCCUGAGCCUGCUGGCCCACAGCUCUGGGCUCCUUCCCCGUCUUCCCCAGAGGACAGACUCACCCUGAAGGGUCAGCUUUCUAAAGAGGGCCAGGAUGUGCAGGGGUGUUCGGCAUUCAAGGCCUGGGAUGAUAGCAGCGCCGUUCACAGCCCGGCUGGCAAGGCAAGGCCAGUUCCUCUACCCAAGAGCGUUUAUGGCUGCACGGCUGACUCCGUGGGUCUGGAGACCUGCGUCCCCACCUGGGUAAUGGGAAUGAUGAUAACACCAGCACCAGCGCCCAGUCCCAGGACGUCCGGAGAACGUGAGAGGCUGAUGGUGGUGCCUGGCCUGGCCCCGUGGGUGGGAGCCCAGCUCCGGGAGGGGGCUGGGGCGGGGCUGAGAGCCUGCACUGAGCCGCAGGGGCAGGACACAUCUCCGGGAUGGGGAUGGCUCAGCCCACAUUGCCCACAGCGACACACCCGCUCGGCGUCUGCACUCUGGAGCCUGACAGCGGCUUGUCUGUCCCACCAGGAGAAGAGACUUCCCUAAUGGCUUCCAGCGGUAGCACAUUGGGUUCGUAUGGCAAAACAUCCUAAUUUAAAAGGAGAAAAAGGGGGCACCUGUGUGGCUCAGUGUGUUUAAGUGUCUGCCUUCGGCUCAGGUCAUGAUCCUGGGGUCCUGUGAUCGAGUCCCACAUUGGGCUCCCUGCUCAGGAGGAAGCCUGCUUCUCCCUCCCCAGCUCCCCCUGCUUGGGUUCCCUCUCUUGCUGUGGCUCUCUCUGUCAAAUAAACAAAUAAAAUAUUUUUUAAAAAGGAGAGAGAGAAAAGUAUAUAAACAUUUCAUAUAGCCUUGAGGACCCAUUGUACAGAGAAAAGCAGUUGAUAAAAAUUCUUCCUCCUUCUGCAGACUAUGGACAGCCGGCCAGUAGUGGGCCUGGAGCAAAGCCUCAGCUUCUUCUCUGGUUUGGCAAUAGCCAGGCUGGACCCACCCCAGGGGCGCGGCAGCUUCUGCACUGGGGACCCCUGGGGCCUGGUGUAGACCUUCUGCCCCUGACCCUUAGGCUGCAGGGACACCCCCCCUCCUAGGAAGGAGAUGGGGAGACGGUGUCCAGAGGGAGAGAACACUGGCUGGGGAUGUCCACGCUGGGGCCCCGGAUGCCCUGCUAGUCCGUGGUGCUGCCCGGGUUUAACUACAGCAUCUGUUACUUACCACAAGGCAGCAGCAGACCAAAUGCCGUUUACCUAGUACCUCACGGAGUCCUCAGGACGCCCCAUGGAGGAGAUCACGUGACUGGCAGACAGAACCACCAGGAUUCUAAGGCCAAGCCUCUGGUUCCAGUCUUCCCCUCAACCACCACGCUCUUCUGCCUUCUCCCUGAGCUGUGGAGGGAUGACCACCUCUCCUGUGCCCCCACAGCACCUUCACUUCGGGUGUUAACAGGAACCCUGGGAGUCCCCAUCCUGAGAAGCCCUCACACCUGGGGCUGGUGCAGCAGGCGUGCCAGCCAGUGUGGGUCCUGGCCGGUCUGGCCUAGGAAGGGCUCUACAGACCCAGGAUUGAAGAUGUUCCCCUGCCAAGGUCUCUGGGGUCCAGACCUCCCAUUCCGGGUGAGGGGGAGGCCCUGAGGCAGCCCAAGGACACCACGCAGGCUUCCUCUGAGGCUUACACAGGCCCUCAUGCUUGCUUGCCUCCCGGAUCUGCAGAAUAUAGCAUUUUGCUGUUUAUAAGGGUGAGAGGCCCCAAUCUGGCUUGCCCCUGUGGUUGUGCAGCCUUAGCCUGGGUCAACGGACCAGGAGGGGCCAAUAUCCUGAUUUCCAAGUUCAAGGUUCAUGGGCCUGGAGGAAAAGGCUCUUGCUCUUAUAGUCUGCUGAGCCAAGCCCCAAAUGGACAGUCUUUUUUAAUUCACCAGAGGUGCUGCAUGGGCUCAGCGUGAGCCUGCUCAAAGGAGGGGGGACAGUUCCUCCAAGAGCCCUGGAGCAGGCCUCCUGUCUUGCCCUCUGGCCCAGGUCUCUCUCCUCCCCAGGGGCCUGCAAGUUUCCGCAGGCUCUCACUGAUCUCUCCUUCAGGCAACAGGGACCAUGCCUUCGGGUCUGAAAUCAGGACUUGAACUCGGACAAAGGCAGUAUUGAUGUAUGAAUCUAGAAAUAAGGAAAUCCUCACAGUUGGAGAGCAUGUGGUUCAUUCUAGUUUGGGGCGAUUCUGAGUAAAGUCACCAUAUCCGUACCACGGAAUACAACUCAGCAAUAAAAAGCAGCGCACUCCUGAUACACCAGCAGCUUGGCUGGGGCUCAAAGGCAGUCUCCGAAAUGAAAGAAGCUGGCUCAAAAAGCUUCAUGCUAUACGAUUCCGUUCCUAAGACAUCUGGGAAAGGCAAAAUUCCCGGGACAGAAAACAGAUCAGUGGUCGCCAAGGGGCCAGGCGCCGAGGAGGCUCUGGGCGACAGAGGGGUACCGGGGAUUUUUCAGGGUGCUGAAGCUGUUCUGGGCUGUACUGGGGAGGGCAGUACACGGCAGUCCGCGUUUGUCAAAGAAUUGUACGACAAUCAGAACAGGUUUUCCUGUAUGUAAAAUAGAUCUCAAUUUUAAAAAUUAAAAAAAAAAAAAACAGGAAGAAAA